UCAUGGGGCUUCAGCCUGCUCCUCUUCAGUUUCUGAUGACCUGGGCUAAGAGAGGAUCUUCCUGCUAUGACCCUACUAUGGAUACCUGGCUCUUUUGUUGGACAAUUUUUAAUCUCCUGAAAGCAGUACAUAUGGAAUCUGAAGUCAUACAGAUCCCAAGCCACCAAGUCACAAAGAUGGGACAGAUGGUGAUCCUGAGUUGUGACCCCAUUUUUGGUCAUUCAUUCUUCUAUUGGUACCAACAAAUCUUGGAGCAGAGGCUGGAGUUUCUGGUUUCCUUCUAUAAUGGUAAAACCUUGGAGAAGUCUGAAAUAUUGAAGGAUCGAUUCUCAGUUGAAAAGCCUGAUAAAUCCUACUUCACCUUGAAGAUCCAUCUCACAAA